rnacentral:rRNA from 1 species
AUGGGGUGCAGCAGGCGCGAAACCUCCGCAAUGCGGGCAACCGCGACGGGGGGACCCCCAGUGCCGUGGCAUCGCCACGGCUUUUCCGGAGUGUAAAAAGCUCCGGGAAUAAGGGCUGGGCAAGGCCGGUGGCAGCCGCCGCGGUAAUACCGGCGGCCCAAGUGGUGGCCGCUAUUAUUGGGCCUAAAGCGUCCGUAGCCGGGCCCGUAAGUCCCCGGCGAAAUCCCACGGCUCAACCGUGGGGCUUGCUGGGGAUACUGCGGGCCUUGGGACCGGGAGAGGCCGGGGGUACCCCUGGGGUAGGGGUGAAAUCCUAUAAUCCCAGGGGGACCGCCAGUGGCGAAGGCGCCCGGCUGGAACGGGUCCGACGGUGAGGGACGAAGGCCAGGGGAGCGAACCGGAUUAGAUACCCGGGUAGUCCUGGCUGUAAAGGAUGCGGGCUAGGUGUUGGGCGGGCUUAGAGCCCGCCCAGUGCCGCAGGGAAGCCGUUAAGCCCGCCGCCUGGGGAGUACGGCCGCAAGGCUGAAACUUAAAGGAAUUGGCGGGGGAGCAC